GCUGGAGGAGAUAAACAGAGGAGGAGGAGGGAGGGGAGUGCGUGUGUGAGAGCGCGCGAGGGAGUGUGAGUGUGUGUGAGCGCGGGUGUGAGGCGGUGCGCAGGGGCGGGCGGAGGCGCUGUCCGGCCCCGGCCAGGCGCCGGGCGGGGAGCAUGGGAAGGGGCUAGAGCUGCCCGGGCCCCCCAGCCCCCUCCCCGGGAUCCGCGCCCCCCCCUCCCGGGAGAGGGGCCGGGCCCCCUGGACGGACAUGGGCUCCUGAAGUUGCGCCGCCGCUGGUCCUGGGAAGAGGCCUGACAGGUAAUUAAAUGUGUGUCUUGUGGACCUGGGCUUGGCUGGAAUGCUCAAGGGUCCUGAAGAUCCUUCUAUAGCUUCCUGCUGUUGAAUCCAUUAAGAGAAGAUGGCAAAAGUCAACAUAACUAGAGACCUCAUCCGUAGGCAGAUCAAGGAGCGGGGUGCCCUGAGCUUUGAGCGGCGCUACCAUGUCACUGACCCCUUUAUCAGGCGGCUGGGCCUGGAAGCAGAGCUACAGGUCCCUGAUGUGCAAAGCUCACCCUAAAUAGCAGUAUUUCCAAGGGUCC